UACGUAGGUGGCGAGCGUUGUCCGGAUUUACUGGGCGUAAAGGGAGCGUAGGCGGACUUUUAAGUGAGAUGUGAAAUACCCGGGCUCAACUUGGGUGCUGCAUUUCAAACUGGAAGUCUAGAGUGCAGGAGAGGAGAAUGGAAUUCCUAGUGUAGCGGUGAAAUGCGUAGAGAUUAGGAAGAACACCAGUGGCGAAGGCGAUUCUCUGGACUGUAACUGACGCUGAGGCCCAAAAGCGUGGGGAGCAAACAGGAUUAGAUACCCCUGUAGU
rnacentral:rRNA from 1 species